AGAGUUUGAUCCUGGCUCAGGAUGAACGCUGGCGGCGUGCCUAACACAUGCAAGUCGAACGAAGCACCUUACCGGAUUCUUCGAAUGAAAGUUUGGUGACUGAGUGGCGGACGGGUGAGUAACGCGUGGGUAACCUGCCCUGUACAGGGGGAUAACAGCUGGAAACGGCUGCUAAUACCGCAUAAGCGCACGAGGAGACAUCUCCUUGUGUGAAAAACUCCGGUGGUACAGGAUGGGCCCGCGUCUGAUUAGCUGGUUGGCAGGGUAACGGCCUACCAAGGCAACGAUCAGUAGCCGGUCUGAGAGGAUGAACGGCCACAUUGGAACUGAGACACGGUCCAAACUCCUACGGGAGGCAGCAGUGGGGAAUAUUGCACAAUGGGGGAAACCCUGAUGCAGCAACGCCGCGUGAGUGAAGAAGUAUUUCGGUAUGUAAAGCUCUAUCAGCAGGGAAGAUAAUGACGGUACCUGACUAAGAAGCUCCGGCUAAAUACGUGCCAGCAGCCGCGGUAAUACGUAUGGAGCAAGCGUUAUCCGGAUUUACUGGGUGUAAAGGGUGCGUAGGUGGCAGUGCAAGUCAGAUGUGAAAGGCCGGGGCUCAACCCCGGAGCUGCAUUUGAAACUGCUCGGCUAGAGUACAGGAGAGGCAGGCGGAAUUCCUAGUGUAGCGGUGAAAUGCGUAGAUAUUAGGAGGAACACCAGUGGCGAAGGCGGCCUGCUGGACUGUUACUGACACUGAGGCACGAAAGCGUGGGGAGCAAACAGGAUUAGAUACCCUGGUAGUCCACGCCGUAAACGAUGAAUACUAGGUGUCGGAGGAUUGACCCCUUCAGUGCCGCAGUUAACACAAUAAGUAAUCCACCUGGGGAGUACGACCGCAAGGUUGAAACUCAAAGGAAUUGACGGGGGCCCGCACAAGCAGUGGAGUAUGUGGUUUAAUUCGACGCAACGCGAAGAACCUUACCAAGUCUUGACAUCCCUUGACAGGCAUAGAAAUAUGUUUUCUCUUCGGAGCAAGGAGACAGGUGGUGCAUGGUUGUCGUCAGCUCGUGUCGUGAGAUGUUGGGUUAAGUCCCGCAACGAGCGCAACCCUUAUGGUCAGUUACUACGCAAGAGGACUCUGGCCAGACUGCCGUCGACAAAACGGAGGAAGGUGGGGAUGACGUCAAAUCAUCAUGCCCUUUAUGACUUGGGCUACACACGUACUACAAUGGCGUUAAACAAAGAGAAGCAAGACCGCGAGGUGGAGCAAAACUCAGAAACAACGUCCCAGUUCGGACUGCAGGCUGCAACUCGCCUGCACGAAGUCGGAAUUGCUAGUAAUCGUGGAUCAGCAUGCCACGGUGAAUACGUUCCCGGGCCUUGUACACACCGCCCGUCACACCAUGAGAGCCGGGGGGACCCGAAGUCGGUAGUCUAACCGCAAGGAGGACGCCGCCGAAGGUAAAACUGGUGAUUGGGGUGAAGUCGUAACAAGGUA
rnacentral:rRNA from 1 species